rnacentral:lncRNA from 7 species
CAUGGGGUGCCAUGGGGUGACCCUCCAGGUGCCAUAGGGUGCCAUAGGGAGCCAUGGGGUGACCCUCCAGGUGCCAUAGGGUGCCAUGGGGUGCCGUGGGUUGUCCGUAGGCCCGGGCUGCGCUGGCGCUGUCGGUGCUGAGCGCGGUGUUGGCUGUCCUGCAGUUGGUGAUGCAGGGGGUGCUGCUGCCCAACGGCUGCGGGCGCUGCUGGGCCAUGGCGCCCCACGUGCAGGGGGCGGUGCUCGGCGCGCAGGCUCUCCUCGCAUUGGGUGCCGCCAC